rnacentral:rRNA from 1 species
UACAGAGGUCUCAAGCGUUGUUCGGAUUCAUUGGGCGUAAAGGGUGCGUAGGUGGCGGGGCAAGUCUGGUGUGAAAUCUCGGGGCUCAACCCCGAAACUGCACUGGAUACUGCCUUGCUCGAGUACUGGAGAGGAGAUUGGAAUUUACGGUGUAGCAGUGAAAUGCGUAGAUAUCGUAAGGAAGACCAGUGGCGAAGGCGAAUCUCUGGACAGUUACUGACACUGAGGCACGAAGCCUUGGGGAGCGAGAAGG